rnacentral:rRNA from 1 species
CGGGACGGGUGAGUAACGCGUGGGUAACCUGCCUUGUACUGGGGGACAACAGUUAGAAAUGACUGCUAAUACCGCAUAAGCGCACAGUAUCGCAUGAUACAGUGUGAAAAACUCCGGUGGUACAAGAUGGACCCGCGUCUGAUUAGCUAGUUGGUAAGGUAACGGCUUACCAAGGCGACGAUCAGUAGCCGACCUGAGAGGGUGACCGGCCACAUUGGGACUGAGGCACGGCCCAA